CGGACGGGUGAGUAACGCGUGGGUAACCUGCCUUGUACUGGGGGACAACAGUUGGAAACGACUGCUAAUACCGCAUAAGCGCACAGCUUCGCAUGAAGCGGUGUGAAAAACUCCGGUGGUACAAGAUGGACCCGCGUCUGAUUAGCUGGUUGGUGAGGUAACGGCCCACCAAGGCAACGAUCAGUAGCCGGCCUGAGAGGGUGAACGGCCACAUUGGGACUGAGACACGGCCCAA
rnacentral:rRNA from 1 species